AAGAGGGGAGUCGCUUCAGGACUGGGGCUGGAACUGGCGCGCCAGCCUCUCCUCCGGUUGUAGCCUCCUAGCGCUCCUGGCUGCGUCGCUGAGGGACCCUCCACCGGGAGAGCGCCUCCUGUCUUCCUCCCGCUCUCCAGAGGAGCCUGCUGGGGGAAGCCGGCCCUGACCCGCCGCUGGGAGGCUCUUGGGUGUCUGGGAGGGCUGGUGGAUAGCGAGAGUCGGGGACCGGGCAAGGCUGCAGAGAAUUCCCGGCGGGCCGAGGCCGGCGGUCUGUCGUGCGGCUGAGCUCAGAGCGCUUUCUGCCCUCGGUGCCGAGGCCUCCACUACUCAGAACGCCAUACGCUCUCAACCAACCUCCUGCCUGGGACCCUCCUUUCAUUCUGGGGAAGGAGAGGGGGGAGCAGGAAAAAUUCCAUUUCAAGACCUGAGCAAGUUGGAUUCAACGCUAGAGGAUUCCCCUCCCGCCUCCCCAAGCUGCCCCCAGAUCUGUACGUGGGAAUCAGAAGACAGCUGACCCGUGGCCAGGGCCUCAGAGGCUGAGCACCGUCUAUUUGAGCGGCUGUUUGAAGAUUACAAUGAGAUCAU
rnacentral:sRNA from 1 species